ensembl:snRNA U6 U6 spliceosomal RNA
GUGCUUGCUUCGGCAGCACAUAUACUAAAAUUGGAAUGAUACAGAGAAGAUUAGCAUGGCUCCUGCAGCAAGGAUGACGCAAAUUCGUGAAGAGUUCCAUACUUUU